UGGAUAGUAACAGUUACUUGGAUAACUGCGGUAAUUCUGGAGCUAAUACAUGCACAAAGCCUCAACCUUACGGGAGAGGUGCUUUUAUUAAAUCAAAACCAAACGGCUUCCGGUGUACUCUUGGUGACUCUGAAUAACUUUGGGCUGAUCGCAUAGCCUUGCGCUGGCGACAUAUCCUUCAAGGGUGUGCCCUAUCAUGUGUCCAGUGGGGUAUACACCCCCACAGGGUUUUUGAGGGAAAAGGGGAAAUCGGGUUUCUUUUCGAGAGAGGGACCCUUAAAAACGGCCCCCAUCUCUAGAGAGGGCAGCGGGCACGCAUUUUCCCCUGUGACCAAAGGGCGGGGUAGUGAAAAAAAAAAACUAUCGCGCACUCCUCAGAGGCCCUAUAAUUGAAAAGAACACUUUUUAAACCCCUCCCCGAAGAUCUUUUGGAGGGAAUCUGGG
rnacentral:rRNA from 1 species